CUCAUUACAGUUUUUGAUAUUGAGCGUAUUUUCAUGUGCCUGUUGGCCAACUGCAUUUCCUCUUUUGAAAACUGUCUAUUCACGUCUUCUGCCCAUUUUUAAUCAGAUUCAUUUUUUUAUAUUAAGUUGUUUGAGCUGUUUAUGGAUGUUGGAUAUUAACCCCUUAUCAGUCAUAUCAUUUGUAAGUAUUUUCUUCCAUUCAGAUUCUUGUCUUUUUGUUUUGUCAGUGGUUUCCUUUGCUGUGCAGAAGCUUUUAAGUUUAAUUAAGCCCUGUUUAUUUAUUUUUGCUGUUAUUUCCUUUGUUUUAGGAGAUGGAUCCAAAUAAUAUUGCUACGAGACAUGGGUGCCCUGAAGGAGUGAGGGAUGUGACUCCCUUGGCAAGGAUCCUUCAGACGAAAGGGAGUAUGGUGGACUUUCUCCACGUGGAAGCAGGCUCAGAGAUGGACUGUGAAGCCUCCAAGAAGGAUCCCAGGUGUGAAGAAUGAAAUAGUGAGUGGCAAAGUGCUUUGGGAGCUGCGAAGAGUGGUGUCAACAUGAGGACAAGGACAGUCAUGGUGGUUCCACUUUACCCCCUUAGAGCUCAGCCUCCUCUGACAAGACAGAUGUGUUGGGUGCCUGAGUGUCCCCUGCCAUUCCAACUUUUGCUGGAUGAGGAGGUCUCUGCGGGCCCACUUAAUAAGCAAAGUGGUCAUUUAGUCCAUAUUUGCAAGAGGAUACGUUAAGAAACUUCUGAAGUGGUGUUGAUUUGGACGUACGGCUAGGGACAGAACUGAGAAAUGCCUGGACUUGGAGGUGAAGAGAGAUGAGGGGAGGGGUAACUGCUACUUGAUGACAGCCUCGGCACCCCUGAAGGAAGGCCCUUUGCUGUGAACUCUCCAGUCUCUCCUCCUCAACUGACAGCACAAAAACUGUCCACAAGGAGUGACUGCUAAAUGCACAGGUAUAGGACGGAAGUAUCUAUUUUAGGGGACUUAUCUUUGUAGUGGCUUUGUUGUAACUCCGAGAUGGUGGAAUUAGCUCAAAUAAAGGAUGCAGAAAGCCUGAGCUCCGGCCAAGUCUCAUCACUCACUAGCCUUGGGCAGCUGGAAACAUCAUUUCAGCACCCAUUUUCCACAUCUAUAAAGUGACUGCAAUGGCCAUGACAGUAUUACAAUAAAAAUUAUGUCUCCACUUAUUUGUCGUGUCACUCUGAGGGGUAAGUAUGAUUAUAACCUGAAGAUACU
rnacentral:lncRNA from 1 species